rnacentral:lncRNA from 1 species
UCAGUGGAUGUGUCUGGUUGCUGUAGACUACACAAUGUGGAUUCUUCUAGCUGGGUUUGUGGUUCUGGUGUGUGCUGCAGAUGCCACACCAGUUCUUGGCAGAACAUUUCCUGAUUUUGGAAAGAUGUAUAAUGUCAAAGGUGUGGUGUCUUUGCCUCAUUCUGAGAUAAAGGAGCCGUUUGAAGCUUGGUACGAUCUUGAUGGGAACAGAAGUCGCAUUGACUAUCGUAAUAGCACAGUGCGCACCUUUCAGAUUGGAAAUGACUUGGAUUUUGAUUGCAAAGGUACUCAGCGUGAGGUCUGGAAAACCAUCACAGAGGCUGGCCAUAAGAAGAACACAUACUGUCUGUGGG